rnacentral:rRNA from 1 species
CACGUAGGGGGCGAGCGUUGUCCGGAUUUAUUGGGCGUAAAGGGCUCGUAGGCGGCUCAGUAAGUCGGGUGUGAAACCUCCAGGCUCAACCUGGAGACGCCACCUGAUACUGCUGUGGCUAGAGUCCGGUAGGGGAGCAUGGAAUUCCUGGUGUAGCGGUGGAAUGCGCAGAUAUCAGGAGGAACACCGGUGGCGAAGGCGGUUCUCUGGGCAGUAACUGACGCUGAGGAGCGAAAGCGUGGGGAGCGAACAGG